GGUGGGGGCUUCUGGAGGGCGCGCCCGUCACCUGGCGGCCGUCGGACCUCAGGCCCAGAGAGCCCAGCACCAGGUUCAGUUGCCAAGGGACACCUCCGAAGAGGACUGCUGAGCCACAGCUGGUCCGUGCGCGCCCCAGACUGCGCUCCUUCGCUCCUUGAGAAGUAACGGAGAGAGAGAGAGAGAGAGAGAGAGAGACUAAGAGAAAAAGGAGAGAGACAGAGACAGAGAGGGUUACUGGCAGAUCAGCUUCACCUCUCCUCCAAAGAAAGAUAUUAUCUUUAUUGUCUGGAAUGUCUCCAGGAAGAAGAGGGAAUCAUCUCAUCUUUACUAUCCUGGUCAGCAAACAAGUCUGUUCUUCGGCCUCUAGGGAGACAGUAUUUCUAGCUUCCAAGACUUUUUGCCAAGAGAACAAUCUUGAAAAGGAGAGCUGAGACUGCAAGGUAAACCAACUGAAUUCCAAUGAAUGGCAUACGGCUCUGAGAAGAGAUGAAUCUAAAGGAUGAUUUCAUUCCUGACAGAACAUUAGAGGAAAGUAUUGCUGUCAUCAAAGCAGAAUUUAAAUCUCAACAACCAGAUCAACUGGAAUCUAAGGGAUGAUGACGGUGACCUUUUCUGACCCUCAUGACUUCAAUCAACUAAAGCUUGGACUCUACCAUCCAAGCCCCUUCAUGUAUAUGCAUGUACCAAUAGCUUAAACUUCCCCAGUUUCGCUGUUCAGAGAGACACUUCUUUGGGAAAAACCCCUGGUAUUCUCCUUACUUGCAGCAAGUAAUAAGUCCUUCUCCAGCAAUCUGGCUUGGUUGUGUCUUUUGGCGACACCACCAAGAGGCUAACCCAGUUUUCAGGUGUAGCUGAUGGCCUUGGAAAGCAGACCAGCUUUUGAGUAGCAACUCUGAAAUACUCUGUUCCCUGAGCGGACGUUGAGACAAACACUUCAGAGCUUUGAGGGAUGCCUGCGAAGUUUUUUCUCCUCAUCAGAGGUGUACUCGGCGUCUUCCACCUCGGGUCUUAAUCAGGCGACUGUGUCUGUGGGAACACCGGAGGUGUCGGCUCCGUUUGGGAACCCAGCGUGGUUUCCAAGGACAUUCACAAGGACGAGGAGCUCUGAGUGACCUUGAAAUGAGGAAGCAGAUGGCCAGGAGGAAGGAUGCUAAUCAUGAGAAUCUUCAAAAGAAUGUGAGCUCUAUGAAGCCAUGAUAUUAGACUGUUUUCUUCACUGCCAUCUUUCCAGUGCCUGUGACAUUGCCGAGCUUAUUACAGGUCUUAGUUGCGGCAUGUGGGGUCUUCGUUGAGGCGUUCCGGAUCUUUCAUUGCAGCGUGGUCUCUUCGUUGUGGCACGUGGGCUUCUCUCUAGUUGUGAUAUACAGAGAGUGGCAAAAGAGUUGAUUCUUCUGAUGUGCAUAUACCCGGCUGAGGCUGAACAAGGUAUGAAAUGAAUGCAUCGAGAGAGAAGAUCAGUAAAUAAUUGACCAACUCUUCGUAGAAAGGACUAUUCCAGAUACUCUGUGGAGACUGUACUACAGGGAAUCAAGAACGUGAUUAGAGAGUUCAUUUGGGAACCUAAUACAGUAGUCCAGACAGUUCCAGGUGUACUCUGAUGCUUUUGCAAAAAUAUUCUUAUAAAAGGGUUUCAUCUUCAAGGAAUUCAUGGAAAAGACUCUGACAAGUUCAGGUUUCUGGUAACUGACUAUACUGCUGAACUGAAUGAAUAAGUAUUUUCAGAACUCUAAUGGAAAACUGAUGAAUUCAUAAAAGUGCUAACAAAGAUCAAGAUAAAAAAAAUUAAUUACAUGGGACUGAGUGAACUGAUGAGGAUGCUUAUAAUGUUUGUGACUUUCUGUUUGAAUAAAAAAAAAAAAUCCCACAAGGACUCAGAGGCAAAAAAUAUACAAAUGAAUUUUCACUGCAAAGUAAAGGAGCUGUUACAGUGGAGGAUUACUGGACUGAAUGUCAAUAUUAUGACAUAGUAUGAGUGUGUUUCGUGUUUGGUAAUUGCAAUCAUUGUUGCUUUUGUUGUGGUCAUCCAUUACCAAUGCUUGGUGUCAGUUUAUCUCUUGUAAAAAUAAAAUACAGUGUGUGUGUGUGUGUGUGAAAAAAAAAAAAGAAGAUGCAGACCUACUAGAGAAUGGACUUGAGGAUACGGGGAGGAGGAAGGGUAAGCUGGGACAAAGUGAGAGAGUGGCAUGGACAUAUAUACACUAACAAAAUAGAUAGCUAGUGGGAAGCAACCGCAUAGCACAGGGAGAUC